UACCUUGACGGUACCUAACCAGAAAGCCACGGCUAACUACGUGCCAGCAGCCGCGGUAAUACGUAGGUGGCAAGGGUUGUCCGGAAUUAUUGGGCGUAAAGCGCGCGCAGGCGGUUUCUUAAGUCUGAUGUGAAAGCCCCCGGCUCAACCGGGGAGGGUUCAUUGGAAACUGGGGAACUUGAGUGCAGAAGAGGAGAGUGGAAUUCCACGUGUAGCGGUGAAAUGCGUAGAGAUGUGGAGGAACACCAGUGGCGAAGGCGACUCUCUGGUCUGUAACUGACGCUGAGGCGCGAAAGCGUGGGGAGCGAACAGGAUUAGAUACCCUGGUAGUCCACGCCGUAAACGAUGAGUGCUAAGUGUUAGAGGGUUUCCGCCCUUUAGUGCUGCAGCAAACGCAUUAAGCACUCCGCCUGGGGAGUACGGUCGCAAGACUGAAACUCAAAGGAAUUGACGGGGGCCCGCACAAGCGGUGGAGCAUGUGGUUUAAUUCGAAGCAACGCGAAGAACCUUACCAGGUCUUGACAUCCUCUGACAACCCUAGAGAUAGGGCUUCCCCUUCGGGGGCAGAGUGACAGGUGGUGCAUGGUUGUCGUCAGCUCGUGUCGUGAGAUGUUGGGUUAAGUCCCGCAACGAGCGCAACCCUUGAUCUUAGUUGCCAGCAUUCAGUUGGGCACUCUAAGGUGACUGCCGGUGACAAACCGGAGGAAGGUGGGGAUGACGUCAAAUCAUCAUGCCCCUUAUGACCUGGGCUACACACGUGCUACAAUGGGCAGAACAAAGGGCAGCGAAGCCGCGAGGCUAAG
rnacentral:rRNA from 1 species